rnacentral:rRNA from 1 species
UACGGGGGGGGCAAGCGUUGUUCGGAAUUACUGGGCGUAAAGGGCUCGUAGGCGGCCAACUAAGUCAGACGUGAAAUCCCUCGGCUUAACCGGGGAACUGCGUCUGAUACUGGAUGGCUUGAGUUCGGGAGAGGGAUGUGGAAUUCCAGGUGUAGCGGUGAAAUGCGUAGAUAUCUGGAGGAACACCGGUGGCGAAGGCGGCGAUCCCUGGACCGACACUGACGCUGAUGAGCGAAAGCCAGGGGAGCAAACGGGG